AGAAGGCCCCGGGCCUGCGGCCUUGGUAGCCAGGCCACCCGCUGCCCUGAUGAGGCUGCUGGGAGUGAGUAUUCCAGCUCUGCGUGGUCCUUUCGUCUUGUGAAAGAGAAAAACAUUGAACUACAACUUUAAGCUCUUCAUUUGAAGAAAGUUACAGUUCAGACACUGGAGAUUUUUGUCACCAAUAUUUCAAGCUGGGCUCAUCCUUGGAGACCUCGACUGGGCUUCGCCUUCUUCAUUCCAGUGAGGUCACGCACCUCCACCCUGCUCCUGCCUCUGCAGCAUGGAACACAUCAAUUUCCUUGUCAGUGGAGUCUCAGUCUGCCACCAGGCUGGAGUGCAGUGGCACGAUUUCAGCUCACUGCAACCCCCGCCUCCCGGGUUCAAGCGAUUCUUCUGCCUCAGCCUCCUGAGUAGCUGGGGCUACAGGUGCCUGCCACCAUUCCCAGUUAAUUUUUGUAUUUUUAGUAGAGACAGGGUUUCACCAUGUUGGCCAGGAUGGUCUCGAUCUCUUGAUCUCAUGAUCUGCCCGCUUUGGCCUCCCAAAGUGCUGGAAUUAUAGGUGUGAGCCACUGCGCCCAGUCAUUUAUUUUUAUUUUUAUUUAAUUUUAAUUUUUUUUUUGAGACAGAGUAUUGCUCUGUCACCUAGGCUAGAGUGCAGUGGUGCAAUCUCUGCUCACUGCAACCUCUGCCUCCUAGGUUCACACCAUUCUCCUGCCUCAGCCUCCCAAGUAGCUGGGACUACAGGUGCCCGCCACCACACCCGGCUAAUUUUUGUAUUUUUAGUAGAGAUGGGGUUUCAUCAUGUUAGCCAGAAUGGUCUCCAUCUCCUGACCUCGUGAUCCACCCCCUCGGCCUUGCAAAGUGCUAGGAUUACAGGUGUGAGCCACCGCGCCUGGCCUAUUUUUGUUUUUUAAACGGAGUCUCUCUCUGUUGCCCAGGCAAGAGUGCAGUGGUGAGAUCUCAGCUCACUGCAACCUCCGCCUCCAGGUUCAAGUGAUUCUCCUGCCUCAGCCUCCCAAGUAGCUGGGAUUAUAGGCAUUCACCAUCACAUCCCAUCACAUAAUUUUUGUAUUUUUGGUAGAGAUGGGGUUUCGCCAUGUUGGCCAGACUGGUCUUGAACUCGUGACCUCAAGUGAUCUGCUUGCCUCGGCUUCCCAACGUGCUGGGAUUACAGACGUGAGCCACUGUGCCCAGCCCCUUUGCAAUAUUUUAUAAAGGUUAACCAAUAGGCAUAGAGUCCUUAUUUUACUAUAAUGGAAUAUAAAGCCUUGUCCAUUAAAUAAGAAUAAAGUUGCUUGAUUUGUCCCAGUGAAUUGACUACAAA
rnacentral:lncRNA from 10 species